rnacentral:rRNA from 1 species
CGACCGGGAGAACUUUCGGAAACGGAAGCUGAUACCGGAUAGGGACAGAGACGGCAUCGACUCUGUGUUAAAGGAGCUGAAAGGCUCCGCGCACGGAUGGACCUGCGGUGCAUUAGCUAGUUGGUGAGGUAACGGCCCACCAAGGCGACGAUGCAUAGCCGGUCUGAGAGGGCGGACGGCCACACUGGGACUGAGACACGGCCCAGACUCCUACGGGAGGCAGCAGUAGGGAAUUUUCGUCAAUGGGCGCAAGCCUGAACGAGCAAUGCCGCGUGAACGAGGAAGGUCUUCGGAUCGUAAAGUUCUGUUGAAGGGGAAAAAGAGCGGAGAGAGGAAAUGGUCUCCGAUUGAUAUUACCCUUCGAGGAAGUCACGGCUAACUACGUGCCAGCAGCCGCGGUAAUACGUAGGUGGCGAGCGUUAUCCGGAAUGAUUGGGCGUAAAGGGUGCGUAGGCGGCCUGCUAAGUCUGGAGUGAAAGGUACCGGCUCAACCGGUACAGGCUCUGGAAACUGGCGGGCUAGAGAGCAGGAGAGGGCGGUGGAACUCCAUGUGUAGCGGUAAAAUGCGUAGAUAUAUGGAAGAACACCAGUGGCGAAGGCGGCCGCCUGGCCUGUUACUGACGCUGAGGCACGAAAGCGUGGGGAGCAAAUAGGAUUAGAUACCCUAGUAGUCCACGCCGUAAACGAUGAGGACCAAGGGUUGGGGAGGACCCAGUGCUGCAGUUAACGCAGUGAGUCGUCCGCCUGGGGAGUAUGCACGCAAGUGUGAAACUCAAAGGAAUUGACGGGGGCCCGCACAAGCGGUGGAGUAUGUGGUGUAAUCUGAGGCAACGCGAAGAACCUUACCAGGCCUUGACAUAGGGUGCGAAGCUAUGGAGACAUAGUGGAGGUAAACAUCCAUACAGGUGGUGCAUGGUUGUCGUCAGCUCGUGUCGUGAGAUGUUCAGUUAAGUCUGGCAACGAGCGCAACCCUCGUGAUGUGUUACCAAUAUCGAGUUAGGGACUCACAUCAGACUGCCGGUGAGAAACCGGAGGAAGGCGGGGAUGACGUCAAAUCAUCAUGCCCCUUAUGGCCUGGGCUACACACGUACUACAAUGGCGGCGACAGAGGGCAGCGAGCCUGCGAAGGCAAGCGAAUCCCCAAAAAGCCGUCCCAGUUCGGAUUGGAGUCUGCAACCCGACUCCAUGAAGUUGGAAUCGCUAGUAAUCGCGGAUCAGCAUGCCGCGGUGAAUACGUUCUCGGGCCUUGCACUCACCGCCC